rnacentral:rRNA from 1 species
CACCACUAAGCCAGUGGUGAACUCCACAUACGCAUCCUUUGCGGAAGAUGCGGUUAACGGAGCGAAAGCGACGUUCAACCUCAGAAGAAGCAGAGGGGGCUUAGUGGUGGGGUGACUGCGUACCUUUUGUAUAAUGGGUCAGCGACUUAUAUUCUGUAGCAAGGUUAACCGCAUAGGGGAGCCGAAGGGAAACCGAGUCUUAAUUGGGCGUUAAGUUGCAGGGUAUAGACCCGAAACCCGGUGAUCUAGCCAUGGGCAGGUUGAAGGUUGGGUAACACUAACUGGAGGACCGAACCGACUAAUGUUGAAAAAUUAGCGGAUGACCUGUGGCUGGGGGUGAAAGGCCAAUCAAACCGGGAGAUAGCUGGUUCUCCCCGAAAGCUAUUUAGGUAGCGCCUCGUGAACUCAUCUCCGGGGGUAGAGCACUGUUUCGGCUAGGGGGCCAUCCCGGCUUACCAACCCGAUGCAAACUGCGAAUACCGGAGAAUGUUAUCACGGGAGACACACGGCGGGUGCUAACGUCCGUCGUGAAGAGGGAAACAACCCAGACCGCCAGCUAAGGUCCCAAAGUCAUGGUUAAGUGGGAAACGAUGUGGGAAGGCCCAGACAGCCAGGAUGUUGGCUUAGAAGCAGCCAUCAUUUAAAGAAAGCGUAAUAGCUCACUGGUCGAGUCGGCCUGCGCGGAAGAUGUAACGGGGCUAAACCAU